rnacentral:rRNA from 1 species
UACGUAGGGUGCGAGCGUUGUCCGGAAUUAUUGGGCGUAAAGAGCUCGUAGGCGGUCUGUCGCGUCUGCUGUGAAAACCCGAGGCUCAACCUCGGGCCUGCAGUGGGUACGGGCAGACUAGAGUGCGGUAGGGGAGAAUGGAAUUCCUGGUGUAGCGGUGAAAUGCGCAGAUAUCAGGAGGAACACCGGUGGCGAAGGCGGGUCUCUGGGCCGAUACUGACGCUGGAGGAGCGAAAGCGUGGGGAGCGAACAGG